rnacentral:lncRNA from 1 species
AUCAAUUCAAUUAUUAUUAUACAGGAAGACAUCCCGUUCAUAAGUUGCCCACCUCGGGGUCUAAAGUUCUAAUAGAGAACUAAAAAAUGAAUAACAAUCAAUUGAUUUACCACUUCAAAACAGAUUCAAUUCCAAAUCCACAAACACAACUCACAAACAUAAACUAAAACAAUAUGAACUAAAAUAUUUUUUUAUGGAUUGAACUCUUAUCUGGCUCGGGAAGACAUCCCGUUCAUUUACGCCCACUCUGGGGUCGUUUAAUUCCAAAAAGGAAUUUCAAUAUGCAAAUUUACGAGUUCAAAUCAUUUUUUUUUUAUCAAAACAACACAAGAACACAAUCACAAGAACACAAGAACGAAAACAAUCAACAUAACGGAAUAGUAAAGCACUUAACACUGAGAAACAUCAAAGAAAAACACAAUUUAUUAACAAGAAAAGAAAAUUACAAUGAUUUACCGAAUGAAAAGUGCAAUCGGNGCCACCACGGACUGUCACCACCGUGAGUGUUUCGCUCCAAAAGCANAGAAACCAAAACCCUAAACUAAAGAUCGUAAACUAUAGAGUGGAAAGUGUCUAAGAGUCUAAGAGUCUGUGUCAGUGUACAAGGCAGAACACCCUUUUUAUAGGGUCUGAAGAAAACGAAAAAAAUAUGGGAAAGGGGAACCUUGCUUCACUUGGACGUUUCGAACUCUUGAUCCAAUGGCCACUGUUCAUUUGCUCCAAGCUUGCGUUAUCAGCCCUUCGAUCAACUCUUCAUUUUCCCGCCGGUCAGGUCUUCUUCUCCGGGCAGAGAACCACACCAGUGGAGCUCCUUCUUUUCAGCUCUCCCCUGCCCUAGCUUUGGAUGUUUCCUCUCAAGUGAAUCUUCGAGCAUCUCUUUCUGCCAAAUGAGUUACAAAAUUGAGACCCCCAAAACUACAACAGUGCACCAGACGACGUCGUCUCACUAAAUCAGCUCAAGUCCAGCCCAAUUGGUAACGUGGCAGCAGCAGUGCAGAACGCUGUCGUUCUACUAAUUGGAAUCAAGGUCCAGCAACCCAUUUUCAUUCAUCAAGCAACGUUAGUGGCAUUCCAUUCUUCAUCACUUCAGCCCGUGCAAUGGCAGCAGCUUGGCUUUUCCAACAACAAUCACGACCCAAUUAAUUGUACCUGCAGCAAAGAAAAAUAAUCAAUCCAAUCAGUACAAGGCUGAGGCCCAAUUUCAAUAGCAACGGCCCAAUUAAAUUUCAGUAAAUCAACUUUUUUAUUAUUUUCAGUGCAGUAGCCCAACUAGCCAAGCAUUCCAGCGGCCCAGUUCUUCUAUUCAGCAUCAAAGGCCCAAUCAUAUCAUUUCAC